AGCAGCCGCGGUAAUUCCAGCUCCAAUAGCGUAUAUUAAAGUUGUUGCAGUUAAAAGCUCGUAGUUGAAUUUCGGGAUCAGUAGGUUGGUCAUGCCUUUGGUAUGUACUGGCCUCACUGAUUCCUCCCUCUUGAAGAACUGUAAUGUUAUUAAUUUGGUGUUGCGGGGAAUCAGGACUGUUACUUUGAAAAAAUUAGAGUGUUUAAAGCAGGCUUACGCUUGAAUACAUUAGCAUGGAAUAAUGAAAUAGGACGUUUGAUCCUAUUUUGUUGGUUUCUAGGAUUGACGUAAUGAUUAAUAGGGAUAGUUGGGGGCAUUAGUAUUCAAUUGUCAGAGGUGAAAUUCUUGGAUUUAUUGAAGACUAACUACUGCGAAAGCAUUUGCCAAGGAUGUUUUCAUUAAUCAAGAACGAAAGUUAGGGGAUCGAAGACGAUCAGAUACCGUCGUAGUCUUAACCAUAAACUAUGCCGACUAGGGAUCGGAUGAUGUUAAUUUUUUAAUGACUCAUUCGGCGCCUUAC
rnacentral:sRNA from 1 species